UUGUUUUGACUGAGCAGAGAGGUCCUUGCACAUGAUGAUUAUUCCUGCUGUGGUUGUUUCUGUUGUUUUCGUCAUCAUUGGACUUUGUGUUUGCAAAAAGAAGAGAGAAAGAAAAAGUGAACAAACUUCGGGCAACAUCUGUGGACUCUCAGAGAGACUGAAUCCAGAGGCCCCGUGAACAAACACAGCACCCUAUAGUCCAAUAUACACACCAACACAUACACAAGUAACAAGCAGAGAAGAUUGUUGAUCAUUUCAUUAUUUUUUUUAUUGAUAACAGUUCUUCAAUUUCUGGUAUUUCUGUCCAGCGUGAGUAUUCAGUUGUUAAACCUGAAUCUGCUUUUACUAAAUAAUUCUAAACACUUUCUCCUGCAUCAAAAUAAAUUAUGUCUGAUAUUACAGAAUCUGCUCUACAUGUAUUAUGUUCUUACCUGUCAAACAGGAACCUGGUGCACUGCUAUCAGCAAGAUCAUUCAAAAUACAGUAUAUCUCACCAAUGAUAUGGAGAUGACACACUUCAUCAGUCCCAGCUGUUUUAAUCAUUGGUCUCAAAAUUGAAAAUAAGCUUGGUUUGUUGUCAAAAUAAAAUUGGCUUUCAUGUUUCAUUAAAAAAGGACAUCUUUAUAAUUUC